AUUCCCUUUCUCUGCCAUUUGAAGUUGCGCUGUAGCUUCCUCUCUUUUCAGCCAUUCAAGCCCCAUUUUCGACCAGCAACGGCGAUGUGAGGGCAUUCCGACGACACCCCAACGGUACGAGCGUGUGGCGUGCGUGGAGUGUUGAACGUGGGACGGUGCGAAGGCUGCCGAACGUGGGGCAUGUGGCGCUGCUAAUUGCUGCUAGGGUUUCUGCUGUUUUAGGCCAAUUGGGCCCUGUAAUUGGGUUUAGCUUGGCCCAAGUUUUAUUGGGUUUGGGCCCGGGCAUAUUUGGGCUUGUACACUUAUAUUUGGUUAAUCAAGUUUGUAUUUUUAAACUAACACUAUUAACUUAAAAUGUCAAAUAAAAAUUUUAAUUUACAUAUUUUUAUUUUUUAAAA